UAGAACGUGGUUCCACUUGCUUUAAUAUGGGUACUUUGGGGAGAGAGGGAAAUGAGAGACCUUUUGAAGUUGUGGCGUCGAGUUUCUCUCCAUCAAGGAGUAGUUUGAGUUCCCUUAUUUUCUUUUGGUGUGAACAAAAAAUCCCUUGUUUUAUACUUUCUCCGUUUCAUUUUAUAUGAUUUAGUUUGACUCGACGCGGAGUUCAAAAAAGAAAGGAAGACUUUUGAAAAUUGUGGUCUAAAAUAAGUGAUAAAUAUUUGUGUGACUUAAAUCGUUUAAUACACAUUUUAAAGUUGUGUUGUUACUUAAUAUAGAGGCAUGCCAUUCUUUCUGAGACUGAUUAAAAGGGAAAGUAAAUCAUAUAAAUUGAGACGGAGGAAAAAGUGGGUUGAGUUAGUAGAGAA
rnacentral:misc_RNA from 1 species